rnacentral:rRNA from 1 species
AGUGAACGCUGGCGGUAGGCCUAACACAUGCAAGUCGAACGGCAGCACAGUAAGAGCUUGCUCUUACGGGUGGCGAGUGGCGGACGGGUGAGGAAUACAUCGGAAUCUACUUUUUCGUGGGGGAUAACGUAGGGAAACUUACGCUAAUACCGCAUACGACCUACGGGUGAAAGCAGGGGAUCUUCGGACCUUGCGCGAUUGAAUGAGCCGAUGUCGGAUUAGCUAGUUGGCGGGGUAAAGGCCCACCAAGGCGACGAUCCGUAGCUGGUCUGAGAGGAUGAGCAGCCACACUGGAACUGAGACACGGUCCAGACUCCGACGGGAGGCAGCAGUGGGGAAUAUUGGACAAUGGGCGCAAGCCUGAUCCAGCCAUACCGCGUGGGUGAAGAAGGCCUUCGGGUUGUAAAGCCCUUUUGUUGGGAAAGAAAAGCAGCAGGUUAAUACCCCGCUGUUCUGACGGUACCCAAAGAAUAAGCACCGGCUAACUUCG